rnacentral:rRNA from 1 species
GAUGAACGCUGGCGGCGUGCCUAAUACAUGCAAGUCGAGCGAACGGACGAGAAGCUUGCUUCUCUGCUGUUAGCGGCUGACGGGUGAGUAACACGUGGAUAACCUACCUAUAUGACUGGGAUAACUUCGAGAAACCGGCGCUAAUACCGGAUGAUAUUUUGAACCGCAUGGUUCAACAGUGAAAGACGGUCUUGCUGUCACCUAUAGAUGGAUCCGCGCUGCAUUAGCUAGUUGGUAAGGUAACGGCUUACCAAGGCAACGAUGCAUAGCCGACCUGAGAGGUGAACCGGCCACACUGGAACUGAAACAGGGUCCAGACUCCUACGGGAGGCAGCAGUAGGGAAUCUUCGGAAAUGGGCGAAAGCCGAACGGAGCAACGCCGCGUGAGUGAUGAAGGUCUUCGGAUCGUAAAACUUUGUUAUUAGGGAAGAACAGAUGUGUAAGUAACUGUGCACAUCUUGACGGUACCUAAUCAGAAAGCCACGGCUAACUACGUG